rnacentral:rRNA from 1 species
AGCAGCCGCGGUAAUUCCAGCUCCAAUAGCGUAUAUUAAAGUUGUUGCAGUUAAAAAGCUCGUAGUUGAAUUUCGGGGUCAGUAGGUUGGUCGUGCCACUGGUAUGCACUGGUCUCACUGAUUCCUCCUUCCUGAUGAACCGUAAUGCCAUUAAUUUGGUGUUGCGGGGAAUCUGGACUGUUACUUUGAAAAAAUUAGAGUGUUUAAAGCAGGCUAACGCCUGAAUACAUUAGCAUGGAAUAAUGAAAUAGGACGAUCGAUCCUAUUUUGUUGGUUUCUAGGAUUGACGUAAUGAUUAAUAGGGAUAGUUGGGGGCAUUAGUAUUCAAUUGUCAGAGGUGAAAUUCUUGGAUUUAUUGAAGACUAACUACUGCGAAAGCAUUUGCCAAGGAUGUUUUCAUUAAUCAAGAACGAAAGUUAGGGGAUCGAAGACGAUCAGAUACCGUCGUAGUCUUAACCAUAAACUAUGCCGACUAGGGAUCGGAUGAUGUUAAUUUUUUAAUGA